GAUGAAGAACGUAGCUAAAUGCGAUAAGUAAUGUGAAUUGCAGAAUUCAGUGAAUCAUCGAAUCUUUGAACGCACAUUGCGCCCGCCAGUAUUCUGGCGGGCAUGCCUGUCUGAGCGUCAUUUCAACCCUCAUGCCCCUAGGGCGUGGUGUUGGGGAUCGGCCAAAGCCCGCGAGGGACGGCCGGCCCCUAAAUCUAGUGGCGGACCCGUCGUGGCCUCCUCUGCGAAGUAGUGAUAUUCCGCAUCGGAGAGCGAUGAGCCCCUGCCGUUAAACCCCCAACUUUCCAAGGUUGACCUCAGAUCAGGUAGGAAUACCCGCUGAACUUAAGCAUAUCAAUAAGCGGAGGA
rnacentral:misc_RNA from 1 species